ACAGGGAUUGCCCUAGUAACGGCGAGUGAAGCGGCAACAGCUCAAAUUUGAAAUCUGGCGUCUUUGGCGUCCGAGUUGUAAUUUGCAGAGGGCGCUUUGGCAUUGGCAGCGGUCCAAGUUCCUUGGAACAGGACGUCACAGAGGGUGAGAAUCCCGUACGUGGUCGCUAGCCUCUACCGUGUAAAGCCCCUUCGACGAGUCGAGUUGUUUGGGAAUGCAGCUCUAAAUGGGAGGUAAAUUUCUUCUAAAGCUAAAUACUGGCCAGAGACCGAUAGCGCACAAGUAGAGUGAUCGAAAGAUGAAAAGCACUUUGGAAAGAGAGUUAAAAAGCACGUGAAAUUGUUGAAAGGGAAGCGCUUGCAGCCAGACUUGCCUGUAGUUGCUCAUCCGGGUUUCUACCCGGUGCACUCUUCUAUAGGCAGGCCAGCAUCAGUUUGGGCGGUUGGAUAAAGGUCUCUGUCACGUACCUCCUCUCGGGGAGGCCUUAUAGGGGAGACGACAUGCAACCAGCCUGGACUGAGGUCCGCGCAUCUGCUAGGAUGCUGGCGUAAUGGCUGUAAGCGGCCCGUCUUGAAACACGGACCAAGGAGUCUAACAUCUAUGCGAGUGUUUGGGUGUCAAGCCCGAACGCGUAAUGAAAGUGAACGGAGGUGGGAACCUUUCGGGGUGCACCAUCGACCGAUCCUGAUGUCUUCGGAUGGAUUUGAGUAAGAGCAUAGCUGUUGGGACCCGAAAGAUGGUGAACUAUGCUUGAAUAGGGUGAAGCCAGAGGAAACUCUGGUGGAGGCUCGCAGCGGUUCUGACGUGCAAAUCGAUCGUCAAAUUUGGGCAUAGGGGCGAAAGACUAAUCGAACUAUCUAGUAGCUGGUUCCUGCCGAAGUUUCCCUCAGGAUAGCAGUAACGUUUUCAGUUUUAUGAGGUAAAGCGAAUGAUUAGAGGCCUGGGGGUUGAAACAACCUU
rnacentral:rRNA from 2 species